rnacentral:rRNA from 1 species
UACGUAGGGUGCAAGCGUUAAUCGGAAUUACUGGGCGUAAAGCGUGUGUAGGCGGCCUCGCAAGUCGGAUGUGAAAGCCCCGGGCUCAACCCGGGAAGUGCACUCGAUACUGCUUGGCUAGAGUCUCGGAGAGGUUGGUGGAAUUCUCGGUGUAGAGGUGAAAUUCGUAGAUAUCGAGAGGAACACCGGUGGCGAAGGCGGCCAACUGGACGAAGACUGACGCUGAGACACGAAAGCGUGGGGAGCAAACAGG